CCUCUCCCCUCACCUCAGGCACCCCAACAGCAGGGCUAUCCUCCCCCCUGCCUGCCUACAACCACCAGAGCCAAGACCACACUACCAUCAGCCAGACAGGCUGGCUCUGUUAGAGGUAUGGGUUACUGAGCUGAAGGAGCAGCCCCCCCAGCUACACCACCUCCAGACUGCUGAGAGACAGGCUGGCUCUGUUAGAGGUAUGGGUUACUGAGCUGAAGGAGCAGCCCCCCAGCUACACCACCACCAGCCCAGACACAGAGCUUCUACAGGACCAGAUCAACCAGUGCAGGACCCAGCUGAAGAACUCUGUCCAGGAGCUGAGAGAGAGCCUUACCACAGCUCUUGAGGAGGUGAAGGCCACCAUGAGGAGAGAGCCUUACCACAGCUCUUGAGGAGGUAAAGGCCACCACGAGGAGAGAGCCUUACCACAGCUCUUGAGGAGGUAAAGGUCACCAUGAGGAGAGAGCCUUACCACAGCUCUUGAGGAGGUGAAGGCCACCACGAGGAGAGAGCCUUACCACAGCUCUGGAGGAGGUAAAGGCCACCAUGAGGAGAGAGCCUUACCACAGCUCUGGAGGAGGUAAAGGUCACCAUGAGGAGAGAGCCUUACCACAGCUCUUGAGGAGGUAAAGGCCACCAUGAGGAGAGAGCCUUACCACAACGCUUGAGGUGGUAAAGGUCACCAUGAGGAGAGAGCUAGUGCAGGUAAAGGAGGAGAUGGCAAAGGAGUUGUCUGUCAUCAAGAGGGUGCUACAGCACAGAGAACAGACUGUAGAGACUCCCAGAGAGAAGCUGCAGCCCCUCACCACCCCUAACAACCCCACUGACUCACCUUUACCCACAAUCCCCCCCCCCAUACCGACAACACUUUACCCACACCCCCAGUCAACAAGGAGGCUCACAUGGAGACACCUACUACAGAGAUAAGCUCUCUGCCCCCCCUGACACACCCCCACACACCCCCUCCAUGUACACCACCCCUAACAACCCC
rnacentral:lncRNA from 1 species